AGAGUUUGAUUCUGGCUCAGGAUGAACGCUAGCUACAGGCUUAACACAUGCAAGUCGAGGGGCAGCAUUGUCGAAGCUUGCUUGACAGAUGGCGACCGGCGCACGGGUGAGUAACGCGUAUCCAACCUUCCCCUUAGUAGGGCAUAGCCCGUAGAAAUGCGGAUUAAUACCCUAUGUUGUUCGAUGCGGACAUCUAAGUUGAACCAAAGGUUUACCGCUAAGGGAUGGGGAUGCGUCCGAUUAGGCAGCAGGCGGGGUAACGGCCCACCUGGCCAACGAUCGGUAGGGGUUCUGAGAGGAAGGUCCCCCACAUUGGAACUGAGACACGGUCCAAACUCCUACGGGAGGCAGCAGUGAGGAAUAUUGGUCAAUGGGCGAGAGCCUGAACCAGCCAAGUAGCGUGCAGGAAGACGGCCCUAUGGGUUGUAAACUGCUUUUAUACAGGGAUAAAGUCGGGGACGUGUUCCCCGUUUGCAGGUACUGUAUGAAUAAGGACCGGCUAAUUCCGUGCCAGCAGCAGC
rnacentral:rRNA from 1 species